UACGGGGGGGGCAAGCGUUGUUCGGAAUUACUGGGCGUAAAGGGCUCGUAGGCGGCCAACUAAGUCGGAUGUGAAAUCCCCAGGCUUAACUUGGGAACUGCAUCCGAUACUGGAUGGCUUGAAUCCGGGAGAGGGAUGCGGAAUUCCUGGUGUAGAGGUGAAAUUCGUAGAUAUCAGGAGGAACACCUGUGGCGAAGGCGGCCAUCUGGACGGUGACUGACGCUGAGACGCGAAAGCGUGGGUAGCAAACAGG
rnacentral:rRNA from 1 species